GGAUUGAUAUAAGCAAUGUGCUAUAUUAUAUCUUGGUACUUUUUUUUGGCUGUCUUCAGGUUUGGCAUAUUCAAUCCUUCAACUGUUUAUGAUCAUUUGGGAGAAAUAUAUUCUGCCCUUAUUUUCGGAAGCUUGGUUUUUUGCAUUUUAUUAUACAUAAAAGGCCAUGUGGCACCGUCUUCCACUGAUUCUGGCUCGUCUGGGAACAUCAUAAUUGAUUUCUAUUGGGGUAUGGAACUCUAUCCUCGCAUUGGUAAAAACUUCGACAUUAAAGUUUUUACAAAUUGCAGAUUUGGAAUGAUGUCUUGGGCAGUUCUAGCUGUAACCUAUUGCAUAAAGCAGUAUGAAGUGAACGGCAAAGUGGCUGAUUCAAUGCUUGUUAAUACCAUAUUGAUGCUGGUGUAUGUUACUAAGUUUUUUUGGUGGGAAGCUGGAUACUGGAGCACAAUGGAUAUUGCACAUGAUCGAGCUGGUUUUUAUAUUUGCUGGGGAUGCCUUGUAUGGGUGCCUUCUAUAUAUACUUCUCCUGGCAUGUACCUGGUCAAUCAUCCCGUACACCUUGGAACUCAGUUGGCACUCUACAUCCUAGUAGCAGGCAUUCUUUGCAUAUACAUCAACUACGACUGUGAUAGGCAAAGGCAAGAGUUUCGCAGAACAAAUGGCAAAGCUUUGGUUUGGGGUAAAGCUCCAUCAAAGAUAACUGCCACUUACACUACCACAACUGGGGAAACAAAAAGCAACAUUCUUUUAACUUCGGGAUGGUACGUUUUCAGGCUCUGCCAUGUAAAUCUGAACUAACUGGAUUUUUUUUUCUUCUUGGUUAUGAAUGCGGGGGGUUCAUAACCAAGAAGAAAUAUUAGCUGAUCCAAGUAUGGAAAAUACUGGAAAUUGUACUGCGAGAAGGUUCGGUACAGGGUCAUCCCCGGAAUUUACUGAGAAAAUGUUGCACAAGUGUUUGUUCUAUGUUGAGAAUGGCAUGUAUAUUCAGGCUUUCCAAAUUAAAUGAUGGCAGGCUGGUAUCAUGUUGUUGUUAUUGUUGUUUUUGUAAUGGUCAACUUUAUGGAUGUUGUAUUUCUCUCAUCUUCAAUGACCAAAAACUUUUCUUGUUUAGGAAAAUUACUAUAAAGUUUUGUUUCUAUUUUUCAUUUUUGAAGUAAAAAUUGUUCAAGAUUAUAAAA